rnacentral:rRNA from 1 species
CCUAAGGUAGCGAAAUUCCUUGUCGGGUAAGUUCCGACCUGCACGAAUGGCGUAAUGAUGGCGUGCUGUCUCCACCCGAGACUCAGUGAAAAUCGCUGUGAAGAUGAAGAUGGUGUACCCGCGGCAAGACGGAAAGACCCCGUGAACCUUUACUAUAGCUUGACACUGAACAUUGAGCCUUGAUGUGUAGGAUAGGUGGGAGGCUUUGAAGCGUGGACGCCAGUCUGCGUGGAGCCAACCUUGAAAUACCACCCUUUAAUGUUUGAUGUUCUAACGUUGGCCCCUACCGGGGUUGCGGACAGUGUCUGGUGGGUAGUUUGACUGGGGCGUCCCCUCCCAAAGCGUAACGGAGGAGCACGAAGGUUAGCUAAUCUGGUCGGACAUCAGGAGUGUGCAAUGGCAUAAGCUAGCUUGACUGCGAGCGUGACGGCGCGAGCAGGUGCGAAAGCAGGUCAUAGUGAUCCGGUGGUUCUGAAUGGAAGGGCCAUCGCUCAACGGAUAAAGGUACCGGGGAUAACAGGCUGAUACCGCCCAAGAGUUCAUAUCGACGGCGGUGUUUGGCACCUCGAUGUCGGCUCAUCACAUCUCGGGCUGAAGUAGGUCCCAAGGGUAUGGCUGUUCGCCAUUUAAAGUGGUACGCGAGCUGGGUUUAGAACGUCGUGAGACAGUUCGGUCCCUAUCGCCGUGGGCGCUGGAGAAUUGAGGGGGCUGCUCCUAGUACGAGAGGACCGGAGUGGACGCAUCACUGGUGUUCGGGUUGUCAUGCCAAUGGCACUGCCCGGUAGCUAAAUGCGGAAGAGAUAAGUGCUGAAAGCAUCUAAGCACGAAACUUGCCCUGAGAUGAGUUCUCCUGAGACUUUAAGUCUCCUGAAGGAACGUUAAAGACGAUGACGUUGAUAGGCCGGUGUGUAAGCGCAGCGAUGCGUUGAGCUAACCGGUACUAAUGAACCGUGAGGCAACCUUAC